rnacentral:rRNA from 1 species
GCAUAUCAAUAAGCGGAGGAAAAGAAACCAACACUGCAUGCCUCAGUAGCGGCGAGUGAGCGGCAAAAGCUCAAAUUUGAAAUCUAGCACUUUCAGUGUUCGAGUUGUAAUUUGAAGAAGGUAACUUUGGAGUUGGCUCUUGUCUAUGUUCCUUGGAACAGGACGUCACAGAGGGUGAGAAUCCCGUGCGAUGAGAUGCCCAAUUCUAUGUAAAGUGCUUUCGAAGAGUCGAGUUGUUUGGGAAUGCAGCUCUAAGUGGGUGGUAAAUUCCAUCUAAAGCUAAAUAUUGGCGAGAGACCGAUAGCGAACAAGUACAGUGAUGGAAAGAUGAAAAGAACUUUGAAAAGAGAGUGAAAAAGUACGUGAAAUUGUUGAAAGGGAAGGGCUUGAGAUCAGACUUGGUAUUUUGCGUUCCUUUCCUUUUUGGUUGGGUUCCUCGCAGUUUACUGGGCCAGCAUCGGUUUGGAUGGCAGGAUAAUGACAUUGGAAUGUAGCUUUACUUCGGUGAAGUGUUAUAGACUUUGUUGAUACUGCCUAUCUAGACCGAGGACUGCGUCUUUGACUAGGAUGCUGGCGUAAUGAUCUUAAGCCGCCCGUCUUGAAACACGGACC